rfam:Zea mays cultivar B73 chromosome 5, whole genome shotgun sequence.
ACCUUUUCUUGCCUUUUGGCUAAGAUAAAGUGUGCUAUUUGUUCUUAUCAGUUUAAUGGUAUGUGGAUCAUAUGUCCACUAUGAUAUUAGAUUUAUUUUUGUGGAUAUGUUUGCGGGGAGGGUCCAGCACACUAGCUUGCCACUGGCCCCUGCGUGUCGCCUAGCCGUUGCACUGGUAUAUGAUUGUGUGCUGUCGCAACACAC